CUGUCAAACCAUGUUUGCUGCUGUUCAAAUGAACUCUAUGGCUGACCAUGUAAACCCUCAUGACUAUAUGGUAUCCAUCCAGCAAUAUAAAUCUCUAAUGGAACACCAUGUAGGGUCUUUUCUAAAAAUGUUGCCUGUGUGCAUGUUUGUGUCUGUCUAUCCAUCCAUCUGUGUCUGUCUGUCUAUCUUUGUCUGUAUGUGUGUAGAUAGAGAACUAGGUAGACAGACAGACAGAUAAUAAAAUGUACCUAAAAAUAACUGAUUGCUAAUUGGAAAUAUAUGAAAUGUCUGUCAGGAUAAGAGCCCUUGAGAAGAGAGCUGGACAAUGUUUUUCUAAGUAAAUGGGUGACAAGCUGUCAUUGCAGAGCAGUGC